UGACAGGAGACCGGGAGGAACAAGUUUCCCUCCGUGUGCUUUCCCCGUCCGUCUGUCCGUCUCUCCUGGAGGCCCUACAGGGAUCUCCACGGGAAGGGAGGCGCUGGGGGUCUGCGCCCAGGGCGGUGGGGAUGACUCUGGCUGCUACAUGGAAAAUGGGUUAUGAGUGGAUCAAGAGAAGAAGUAAAGAGGCCAGAGUUCAGGGUGGACCUG